rnacentral:rRNA from 1 species
AUACGGAGGAUCCAAGCGUUAUCCGGAAUCAUUGGGUUUAAAGGGUCCGUAGGCGGGUUUGUAAGUCAGUGGUGAAAGUUUUCGGCUCAACCGGAAAAUUGCCAUUGAUACUGCAAGUCUUGAAUCAUUAUGAAGUGGUUAGAAUGUGUAGUGUAGCGGUGAAAUGCAUAGAUAUUACACAGAAUACCGAUUGCGAAGGCAGAUCACUAAUAAUGUAUUGAUGCUAAGGGACGAAAGCGUGGGUAGCGAACAGGAUUAGAAACCCUAGUAGUCC